rnacentral:misc_RNA from 1 species
GAACGCAACUUGCGCCCUCUGGUAUUCCGGAGGGCAUGCCUGUUUGAGUGUCGUGAACACCUCAACCCUCUAAUGUUUUUGCAUUGAAGGCGUUGGUAGUGAGCGCUGCCGGUCUUUGGGUCGGCUCGCUUUAAAAUAAUUAGCUGGAUCCAUUCUGACCUGGUUCUACUCGGCGUAAUAAGUUAUUAUCGUCGAGGACGCCUAGCCUUCUAGGCAGGCGGCCACAGUAAGGGUGUUUGAACCGCUUCCAACACGUCUUGCUCUUGUAGCAAACACUUGAACCUCUGACCUCAAAUCAGGCAGGACUACCCGCUGAACUUAAG